AAGUACAGGCAUCAGGUUUUGCUUAUGACUCAUUAGCUGAUUUGUCCAUUAUUCAGUCAUCCAUUUGACUUUACACUCACCAGUCCACCCACACCCAGUGCUUCAGCAGAUGGCUCUGGGUUCAACAACAACAACACCAACAGAGCAUGGUGGGGGCCCUCCUGGAGAGCACACAUACACACCAUGGACAGCAUCUGUUUAUGAAUGGACCAACAAUUGCCCAUCCCCCGACAGCCACAGCUGACAGAGGGAGGGGGACACCUCCCGUCACCAAAAGCAAAAGAGGGAAUAAAGAAGACCAAGGCAGUCAGAACAGCAGGAGGGAAAGACAGAAAAAAGAAAAUCAAAGUUGCGACUCCAAAUAUGUUUAUGGUUUGUUUUAUCUAUUCUAGUCAGGAUUGUGCUGAAAGCAAAAAACAUUUAAACCAAAUUCAAUCCAAGACCAUACAUUGCACUUAACGGCUGACAAUAACUAUCCGCUAUUAAAAUUGAAGAUUUUUUUUGCUUAAUAAUCUUUUUAAAAGAUUUCUUUUUUUUAUAUAUAUAUAAUUUUUGGCCGAAAAAGAUGAUGUGCAAAGUCUUUUUAUCCACUGCCAUAGUUUGAAAAUUUUAGGGGUGCAACUAACUUAGCAUCAUUACAUUAUCAAUUGAUCUGCCUAUUAAAUAAAUGUUUAGUCUAUAAAAUGUUCUAAAAUAGUGAAAAGGUUCCCCGACCAUAAAGGUGGCACCUACAUAUUGCUUGUUUUGUCUGACCAACACUCCAAAAUCCAAAGAUGUUCAAUAUUUUUUCUUUUACAAAGGACAACACACAGAGAAAAUGCAAAUCCUAACUGAAAAAAUUAAAGAGACUGGACACAGAAAAUAAAAUUUUCAGUUUACAUUUUUAUGCCAAGUUGUAAAAUCCCAUCUCAUAGUAUUCUAAAGCGCUGUGAAGAGUCUUGCCAUCUUAUAAGCCUGAAAACUCAUGGAUGUAUGAUUUCGAACUAGAAUUUAUAGUUCAUACUUCAUCUGCAAUAAUUCAAAACAUGUAAUAAUUGUGGCUUUUGGUACAUACGUGAUUACUGUUACUGUUCAUUAAUGAGUCCAUUACAACAGACUCAUUAAAUCAGGCAGGAAGAUAUAAUUGUCUUCCCCUGUUGCAUGACUACAGGUACUUGUGAAGAAGAGUCUCUGCAAUAAGUUCAGCAUGUACAAAACUGCAAUUACAAGGUUCACUGCUAUUAUUUUCAUGGGCGUUGUGAAUGAAACUGAAGAUGUGAAAUGAUACUGAGAGGAUAGAUUUCUGUCCAAGUUGCCACAAAAUACAUUUUAAUGCUACUUUGAUUGUGUUGCUUCACUCUACAAUAAACAGAAAAAAGGGCUGCCAUUUUCACUGUAACAUACACAACAUCACCAGACUGCAGUAGAGGCAUCGCUUUCCAAAAAUA